rnacentral:rRNA from 1 species
UACAGAGGGGGCAAGCGUUAUUCGGAAUUAUUGGGCGUAAAGGGCGCGUAGGCGGCUUUGCAAGUGACGGGUGAAAUCCCUCGGCUUAACCGAGGAACUGCCUGUCAAACUGCAUGGCUUGAGACCGGGAGAGGUGAGUGGAACUCCGAGUGUAGAGGUGAAAUUCGUAGAUAUUCGGAAGAACACCAGUGGCGAAGGCGGCUCACUGGCCCGGUACUGACGCUGAGGUGCGAAGGCCAGGGGAGCAAACGGG